rnacentral:rRNA from 1 species
UACAGAGGUCCCAAGCGUUGUUCGGAUUCACUGGGCGUAAAGGGUGCGUAGGCGCUCGGGUAAGUCUGAUGUGAAAUCUCACAGCUUAACUGUGAAACUGCAUUGGAUACUAUCCGGCUUGAGGAAUGGAGGGGAGACUGGAAUACUUGGUGUAGCAGUGAAAUGCGUAGAUAUCAAGUGGAACACCAGUGGCGAAGGCGAGUCUCUGGACAUUUCCUGACGCUGAGGCACGAAAGCCAGGGGAGCAAACGGG